CCAUGGGCAAAUUCCUGCUGCUGUCCACCCUGAGCCUCCCCUGGCCCAGCCUGAGGCCUGAGCUCUCCUCCUGUCCCUGUUCCCUGGCAGCAGAGCCCGACCCCCCCGGCUGUCCCCUCCUGCCAGGGACUUGUGCAGAGCCACAAGGGCCCCCUGAGCCUCCUUUGCUCCAGGCUGAGCCCCUUUCCCAGCUCCCUCAGCCCCUCCUGGGGCUCCAGACCCUUCCCAGCUCCAUUCCCUGCCCUGGACACGCUCCAGCCCCUCCAGGGCUCUCCUGCACCAGCCACAACUGGAGCCAGCCCUCGAGGGGCCUCUCAGAGCCAGCACAGAGGGACAAUCCCUGCCCUGCUCCUGCUGGACACACAAUUCCUCACCCAGCCCAGGGGCCAGUGGCCUCUUGCCCACCUGGGCACCCCUGGGCUCGUGUCCAGCCCCUGGCACCGGCACCCCCAGGGCUUUUCCAGCUUUUCCAGCCCCUCUGCCCAGCCUGGAGCUCUGGGGGUUUGUUGUGACCCAAGGUGACAACAUGUGAGGGAAACAACGUGGAGACACCAGGGUAAGGGAAGAAGGAGGGGCUCCAGGUGCUGGAGCUGAGAUUCCUCUACAGGCUGUGGUGAUGAGCACGGUGAAGCAGCUGUACCCCUUCAUUCCAUGGGAUCUUCAGGGGAUGCAGAGAUCCAUCCACACCCCUAGGGAUCCACAGGGGAUGCAGAGAUCCACCCAUAGGCUAUAGAGAUCCACAGAUGAUGCAGAGAUCCACCCAUAGGCCAUGGAGAUCCACAGAUGAUGCAGAAAUUUACCCACAGCCCCUGAGGAUCCACCCUGGACACUGAGAUCCACCCACAACCCACAGAGAUCCAUCCACGCUGGAGCAGUGGAUGCCUGGAGGAGGCUGUGAUCCAGUGGGAGACAUGGUGGAGAGAGAGGGCCUUUCCUUCCAGGCUGCAGCCGCCUGUCCUUGGAGGACUGCACCCCGUGGAAAGAGAGACCCACAGCACAGCAGUUUUGGGAGGACUGUUGGCCCAUGGGGUGAAUUCACAUUCCAGCAGUUUUGUCAGGACUGCUGCUCCUGCUGUUAGAGUAGAGCCAAGCUGGAGAAGUUCAGAGAGAGCUGUCUCCUGUGGGAGGGACCCCAUGGUGCAGCAGGGGAAGGAUCCCUCUCCCUGGGCAGUGGAAGAAAAUCUCAGUGAUGAACUGACCAAAACCCCCAUGUGCUGUGACCCUGUGCUGCUGGUGGGAAAGAGAGAAGGGCUGGGGAGGCAGACUUGUUUUUCAAGGGCUUAUUUUACUUCUCAUUAUCCUCUGAUUCUGUUAGUAAUAAAUUCACUUUGCAACUUAAGUUUGAGCCUAUUUUGCCCUUAAAAUAUUUCUCCCUGUCCUUACCUCACUCACGAAGCCUUCACUAAUUUUUUUUUUCCUUUUCCCUCCUUUGCCCAGCUGUGGCAGGGGAGGGCAAGGUGUGAUUCUGGUGUUUGGCCAGCGUCAAAGGACACCCCAGCCAUACCUGGGGAGCUGCUGUGCUCAAUGGAGGUGAUGGAGGUGCCCACCCCAGCCAUACCUGAGGAGCUGCUGUGCUUGAUGAAGGUGAUGGAGGUGAUGGAGGUGCCCACCCCAGCCAUACCUGAGGAGCUGCUGUGCUUGAUGAAGGUGAUGGAGGUGAUGGAGGUGCCCACCCCAGCCAUACCUGAGGAGCUGCUGUGCUUGAUGAAGGUGAUGGAGGUGAUGGAGGUGAUGAAGGUGAUGGAGGUGCCCACCCCAGCCAUACCUGAGGAGCUGCUGUGCUUGAUGAAGGUGAUGGAGGUGCGCUGGGUGCGGGGCUGCAGCAGCAGCAGCAGCACAGGCUCCAG